CUGACUAUAAAAGGGCGUGCCGUGGGCAGCUCCGACCGGAAGCAACCAAAAAAUGACAAAAUGGCAACAAUGAAUAUUCUUGAGUCUUGCAAAAAGACGCCCUUGACAGUUAUAAUGCACAUUCUUUACAUUUUUACAUUCUUCUUUUGAUACGCCUUCUUCCGCUCUCUCACGAGAUAGUAGACACAACAAAAAUGGCUGUCAAAAGUUUAUUUCAAGAAGCGAAGAAGUCUGUUCUCAACCUCCUACUGGGGGUUCCACAGGAGCUAAAGUUCGCGACUGAAGAUACCAAGCAAGUCUUUGUAGGUUUAAUUGACAGUGCUAAGCGUUGUCUUGCUGCCAGACAUCCAUUGGCCCAGCAUGAGGAUCUGACAAACUGAUGCUGAUGUGGACAUAAAUAACUCAAGUCGCGUUGAAGACGCUUUGAAGGACUGCGACUGCCUUUGCUUGUUGACAGUCUCCCUGGGUACACCAUCGAUCUAUGUAGAAAAUCUCUUUGCUGGGGAGAGGAGAGCCUCACUGUCUGGUGGCAUGCACUCCACUUGCCCUAUUAAAAUGGUAGUAAAGAAUUUGUUUGAUAUAGAUGUACUGAUAUUCAUAUAAAUUCUUUUUCAGAAUCGAACUUUCGAUGAAUUUCCACAAUGGCAUAUUUUCAAUGCCGUCUAUUAUGCAAGAAAGCAAGCUUCCUAACUCUUCCACAACGUUCCCUGGACUGUAGCUGACCUGGAGCUGAAAAGAUUCCUUUAUUGUGCAUAAGCCUUUUGCUGUAUCUAUUCAUAAAGUAUUUUGUCAGCCAUUAUGAUAAUCAUUAAUUUUUUUGUUUUUUUGUUUCUGCUUCUGGUAAAAAAGAAAAACUACCAAGAAUGUAUUUCCUUUCCCUUUGUGUAUAUUUUUGAGUGUUCACAGUGUGUAGCGAAUGGGUUCUGAGCGCUUUUGCGCAAGAGAAAAAAAGAGCUCGUUACUAAGGC